rnacentral:tRNA from 1 species
UCCCCAGUGGCUCAGCAGAAGAGAAUCUGCCUGCAAUACAGGAGAUGCAGGUUCAAUCCCUGCAUCAGGAA